rnacentral:misc_RNA from 1 species
UACGGAGGGGGCUAGCGUUGUUCGGAAUUACUGGGCGUAAAGCGCGCGUAGGCGGAUUGUUAAGUUGGGGGUGAAAUCCCGAGGCUCAACCUCGGAACUGCCUUCGAUACUGGCAAUCUCGAGUCCGGGAGAGGUGAGUGGAAUUCCGAGUGUAGAGGUGAAAUUCGUAGAUAAUCGGAGGAACACCAGUGGCGAAGGCGGCUCACUGGCUCGAUACUGACGCUGAGGUGCGAAAGCGUGGGGAGCAAACAGG